AUUGAACGCUGGCGGCAGGCCUAACACAUGCAAGUCGAACGGUAACAGAAAGCAGCUUGCUGCUUUGCUGACGAGUGGCGGACGGGUGAGUAAUGUCUGGGAAACUGCCUGAUGGAGGGGGAUAACUACUGGAAACGGUAGCUAAUACCGCAUAACGUCGCAAGACCAAAGAGGGGGACCUUCGGGCCUCUUGCCAUCGGAUGUGCCCAGAUGGGAUUAGCUAGUAGGUGGGGUAACGGCUCACCUAGACGACGAUCCCUAGCUGGUCUGAGAGGAUGACCAGCCACACUGGAACUGAGACACGGUCCAGACUCCUACGGGAGGCAGCAGUGGGGAAUAUUGCACAAUGGGCGCAAGCCUGAUGCAGCCAUGCCGCGUGUAUGAAGAAGGCCUUCGGGUUGUAAAGUACUUUCAGCGGGGAGGAAGGGAGUAAAGUUAAUACCUUUGCUCAUUGACGUUACCCGCAGAAGAAGCACCGGCUAACUCCGUG
rnacentral:rRNA from 1 species